ensembl:snRNA U6 U6 spliceosomal RNA
GUGCUCCCUUCGGCAGCACAUAUACUAAAACUGGAACAAUACAGAGUAGACUAGAAUGGCCCCCGCACAAGGAUGACAGGCAAAUUCGUGAAGCAUUCCAUAUUUUU